AUUGAACGCUGGCGGCAGGCUUAACACAUGCAAGUCGAGCGAGUGGCGGACGGGUGAGUAAUGUCUGGGAAACUGCCUGGUGGAGGGGGAUAACUACUCGAAACGGUAGCUAAUACCGCAUACCAUCAGAUGUGCCCAGAUGGGAUUAGCUAGUAGGUGGGGUAAUGGCUCACCUAGGCGACGAUCCGUAGCUGGUCUGAGAGGAUGACCAGCCACACUGGAACUGAGACACGGUCCAGACUCCUACGGGAGGCAGCAGUGGGGAAUAUUGCACAAUGGGCGCAAGCCUGAUGCAGCCAUGCCGCGUGUGUGAUGAAGGCCUUCGGGUUGUAAAGCACUUUCGGCAGGGAGGCGUUACCCGCAGAAGAAGCACCGGCUAACUACGUGCCAGCAGCCGCGGUAAUUC
rnacentral:rRNA from 1 species